UACAGAGGCCUCUAGCGUUAGGCGGAAUCACUGGGCUUAAAGCGUGUGUAGGCGGACGCCUAAGUGUCUUGUGAAAUCCCACGGCUCACCCGUGGAACUGCUGGGCAUACUGGGCGUCUUGGGCCAUUCAGGGGCAACUGGAACAAGCGGUGGAGCGGUGAAAUGCGUAGAUAUCGCUUGGAACGCCGAACGGUGAAAACAGGUUGCUGGGGAUGUGCCGACGCUGAGACACGAAAGCCCAGGGGAGCAAACGGGGAUUAGAAAACCCC
rnacentral:rRNA from 1 species